rnacentral:rRNA from 1 species
GAUCAUGGCUCAGGAUGAACGCUGGCGGCGUGCCUAACACAUGCAAGUCGAGCGGAGAUAAGUGAAGCUAGCGAUCUAUCUUAGCGGCGGAUGGGUGAGUAACACGUGGGUAACCUGCCCUGCACUGGGGAAUAACAGCUGGAAACGGCUGUUAAUGCCGCAUAUGCGCACGGAGCCGCAUGGCUUUGGGCGGAAAGAUUUAUCGGUGCAGGAUGGGCCCGCGCCGGAUUAACUAGUUGGCGGGGUAACGGCCCACCAAGGUGAUGAUCCGUAGCCGACCUGAGAGGGUGACCGGCCACAUUGGGACUGAGACACGGCCCAAACUCCUACGGGAGGCAGCAGUGGGGGAUAUUGCACAAUGGGGGAAACCCUGAUGCAGCGACGCCGCGUGAAGGAUGAAGUAUUUCGGUAUGUAAACUUCUAUCAGCGGGGAAGAAGAUGACGGUACCCGACUAAGAAGCCCCGGCUAACUACGUGCCAGCCGCAGC